rnacentral:piRNA from 1 species
UAUUUUUUUUCCUUCUCGCUUGUCUUCAUC